UCUGAGAGCGGUUAAUAUGGAAUAGGAAUGAUUCAUGUUUCAGCUCCUAAAAUGUUGGUAUUACUCACCAGAAAACUCCCCACGUAUUCCGAGAGAUUUCAAUGCUUUGUGUCUUUUAUUAACAGCUCAUCUCAUUCACUUCCUCAUCGCAGCAUCCUCCUCAUAAGGACUUCCUGCAUCCUUUGUUUCCACAUCUCAACAUCAGUGUUGUGUGGCCCUUUGAGGCUGCAAAAGACAUUAAGCAGCAUGCUUCAGGACACCCUGGAACUGCAGUACAUGCCGGCCUCUGAGAUUUACAGCUCAGCAAGUUCAACCUUAGAUUCUUUGAAUAUGUUCACACGUCUUGCUAAAACUGGUGCAUUCUGUGAAGGCUUGGCAUGCUAUCUGACACAGCUGUAUCAAACCCCCGUGUCACUUCAGCUAUAAUAACCCAGGCAUACAUUAUAACUCUAACCACACGUCAUACCCCACUGCUGUCCCCUAACUGUAAACCCUCCCAUCUGCAGAUCUGCUUCAUCUUUGGUUUUGUUUGCUUAUGAGUACGGGUGUUUAUCCAGCAGGUGGAAGAUAUCCAAACACAUGGACUCAGGGAUGUGCAGACUCUUUGCAAAAGCCAACCUGUGGGGUGUUUGCCUCAAAAUUUGCUAGAUAAGACACAUAAGUUGAAUAGAAAAUUAUUAUUGUAGAUGUUGGCCCUACCCAAUCAAGUGUAAAGCACACAACUUGCUUUUCCCUUUGCUGAGCUCUGAAGUUUUCACUGAAGAGGCCUCAUCCUUGCAAAGUACAAUGCCUUGCACCAAGCCUUUACCUGCCUAUAGAUGUUUCUGACAUUCCUACCUCCCAGCUCAUGGAUAUAAGGGGAUCCUAUGAGAAAAUGUCACACUUGCUGCUUGCCCUCCAAAGCCCAGCCCUGUUUCAACAAGGUCAAACUCGCCAGACAGUCAAGAGCCACGAGACCUUUGCAAAAUGUUAUGUGAAUCAUACUGUUUGCACAAGAAUUUGUCACAUCAAGAGUGAGAACAUUCAGGAUCAACUAGAUCUCUGAGAUGAAGCAGUGAGGUCCCUGCACCACGUAAAGCCAGGGCUAAGUUUCUUUUUCUUUCUUCAAGAUAAUUCCUGGACAUGUGCAUGCAGAUAUCCCUGCCAAAAUCUGGUCAGCAAAAUGACUUUGGGACUCUGAGAAGCCCAGAAAAAGGCUCAGACCCAGGGACACAGGAGGCAGCACAAAGGCAGCUCUGGCUCCUGCCACACCAGGCUCCUUAUCCAAAGCAAAGAAACAUUCACCCUGAUGCUUUGCCAGCUGAUGUACACUGAAAGGAUAAAUCUGAUAGCAGCAUUCCUCUGGACUUGCUCGGGAUACUCAGGAUUCCACACUGCAGCACUUCUAAUUUCAUCUUCCCACAAAGAACAGCCCACAGAGUGACUGGAAUUUAUUAAAAUCAGAUAGUAAGUUUUUUCAGAACAACCUGGAUGAAGGUGAACACUUUGGACAAUGCAAAUUGCUCAUAGUCUUGAAACAGUGGGAAGCAGGUGGGAUUUCUCUGGAGGAAGAAUAGCAACAGCAAUUUGAUGCAAUUCCUCUCCAGGCAGGACCCAUGUUUGAGGUGGGUGAAACCUGACCCUCUGUUUAUGAAUCAAGGCAUCUCCCAAGUUUUAACAUUUACAGAGUUGUGUUUUCACCAAGUAUUAUAUGCAGUGAUUAAAAUAAUGAGCUGGAACAAGCUGAAGUUAAAAUUGCUCCUUUCCCCCAACCUCCCCCUUUCCCCCCCCACGUUUGAGUGAGCGCUUUGUUAACUACCCUGAUGAACUAAUCAAGGCUUGGCUAAAUCAGGGAAGAAGCAGACAAACCCUGGGAGACAUCAGUACAAGAAAAGGCAUAAUCUGGACACUGAGCUUUGAAGGCAAGCUAUAUAAUGAGAGCUGACUGUAUCUCAAAAUCCAUGUUAGCUUGAAUGAACUUAUGUAAUAAACAUUUAUCACAGAACA
ensembl:lncRNA